rnacentral:lncRNA from 1 species
AAAACAAACAGACAUAUUAGGUUAAAAUGUCAAAAUAUGGGAACAGCAGUCAACAUUGUGUAAUAAUCUCAAUCACUAAAAAAAGAAGAAACAAAUAUGGCACAAAGACCAAGUAUAUUAGCAAAAAAAUAAAGACAAGAAUACACAAAUUUACUAUAGUACAAUGACAUAAUGACGGGAUUUUAAAGUACAGAGCCACGUCAUAUAUGUAUAUAUGUAUCAAAGAAUCAUAAAAAAGGAUAAAGACAAAGCACAUAGCAAAAAUGAAUGAGAAGCAAACAAACAUGUUUUACAAUAGCGCAAUAACAAAGCAUCGUUAUAUGUAUUGAAGUAACACC